rnacentral:rRNA from 1 species
GACGAACGCUGGCGGCGUGCUUAACACAUGCAAGUCGAGCGGAAAGGCCUUUCGGGGUACUCGAGCGGCGAACGGGUGAGUAACACGUGGGUAACCUGCCUUCAGCUCUGGGAUAAGCCUGGGAAACUGGGUCUAAUACCGGAUACGACACGCGGCCGCAUGGUUGUGUGUGGAAAGUUUUUCGGCUGGAGAUGGACUCGCGGCCUAUCAGCUCGUUGGUGGGGUAGUGGCCUACCAAGGCGAUGACGGGUAGCCGGCCUGAGAAGGCGACCGGCCACACUGGGACUGAGACACGGCCCAGACUCCUACGGGAGGCAGCAGUGGGGAAUAUUGCGCAAUGGGCGAAAGCCUGACGCAGCAACGCCGCGUGAGGGAUGACGGCCUUCGGGUUGUAAACCUCUUUCAGCGCUGACGAAGCCUUCGGGUGACGGUAGGCGCAGAAGAAGCACCGGCUAACUACGUGCCAGCAGCCGCGGUAAUACGUAGGGCGCGAGCGUUGUCCGGAUUUAUUGGGCGUAAAGAGCUCGUAGGCGGCUUGUUGCGUCGUCCGUGAAAACCUGGGGCUCAACUUCAGGUCUGCGGACGAUACGGGCAGGCUGGAGUUCGGUAGGGGAGACUGGAAUUCCUGGUGUAGCGGUGAAAUGCGCAGAUAUCAGGAGGAACACCGGUGGCGAAGGCGGGUCUCUGGGCCGAUACUGACGCUGAGGAGCGAAAGCGUGGGGAGCGAACAGGAUUAGAUACCCUGGUAGUCCACGCUGUAAACGUUGGGCGCUAGGUGUGGGGGGCCUCUCCGGUUUCCUGCGCCGUAGCUAACGCAUUAGGCGCCCCGCCUGGGGAGUACGGCCGCAAGGCUAAAACUCAAAUGAAUUGACGGGG